rnacentral:rRNA from 1 species
AAUCAACGCUGGCGGCGUGCCUCAGACAUGCAAGUCGAACGAUUAAAGCUCUCUUCGGAGAGUGUAUAGAGUGGCGCACGGGUGAGUAACACGUAAGUAAUCUACCUUUGAGUGGGAAUAACCCGGGGAAACCCGAGCUAAUACCGCAUAAUGCAGCGGCACCGCAAGGUGACAGUUGUUAAAGGAGCAAUCCGCUUAAAGAGGAGCUUGCGGCAGAUUAGCUAGNGGUAAGGUAAUGGCUUACCAAGGCUUCGAUCUGUAUCCGGCCUGAGAGGGCGGUCGGACACACUGACACUGAAUAACGGGUCAGACUCCUACGGGAGGCAGCAGUCGGGAAUUUGGGUCAAUGGGCGAAAGCCUGACCCAGCAACGCCGCGUGAAGGAUGAAGUAUUUCGGUAUGUAAACUUCGAAAGAAUGGGAGAAUCAAUGACGGUACCAUUUAUAAGGUCCGGCUAACUACGUGCCAGCAGCCGCAGUAAC